AACGAACGCUGGCGGCAUGCCUAACACAUGCAAGUCGAACGAGACCUUCGGGUCUAGUGGCGCACGGGUGCGUAACGCGUGGGAACCUGCCCUUAGGUUCGGAAUAACUCCCCGAAAGGGGUGCUAAUACCGGAUAAUGUCUUCGGACCAAAGAUUUAUCGCCUUUGGAUGGGCCCGCGUUGGAUUAGCUAGUUGGUAGGGUAAAAGCCUACCAAGGCGACGAUCCAUAGCUGGUCUGAGAGGAUGAUCAGCCACACUGGGACUGAGACACGGCCCAGACUCCUACGGGAGGCAGCAGGGGGGAAUAUGGGACAAUGGGCGAAGGCCUGAUCCAGCAAUGCCGGGUGAGUGAUGAAGGCCUUGGGGUUGUAAAGCUCUUUUACCCGGGAUGAUAAGGACAGGACCGGGAGAAUAAGCUCCGGCUAACCCCGU
rnacentral:rRNA from 1 species